rnacentral:rRNA from 1 species
ACACGACUACAUUAGAUACCCGGGUAGUCCAGGGUGUAAACGCUGCGGGCUUGGUGUUGGGGGUCCUUUGAGGGCGCCCAGUGCCGGAGAGAAGUUGUUAAGCCUGCUGCUUGGGAGUACGUCCGCAAGGAUGAAACUUAAAGGAAUUGGCGGGGGCGCACCGCAACGGGAGGAGCGUGCGGUUCAAUUGGAUUCAACGCCGGACAACUCACCAGGAGCGACGGUUACAUGAAGGCCAGGCUGAUGACCUUGCCUGAUUUUCCG